rnacentral:rRNA from 1 species
GUGUCAGCCGCCGCGGUAAGACGAACCGUGCGAACGUUAUUCGGAAUCACUGGGCUUAAAGGGCGCGUAGGCGGGCCACCAAGUCAGGGGUGAAAGCCUCCGGCUCAACCGGAGAAGUGCCUUUGAUACUGGCGGCCUAGAGGGAGGUAGGGGCCUGCGGAACUUCCGGUGGAGCGGUGAAAUGCGUAGAUAUCGGAAGGAACGCCGGUGGCGAAAGCGGCGGGCUGGACCUCUUCUGACGCUGAGGCGCGAAAGCCAGGGGAGCAAACGGGAUUAGAAACCCUUGUAGUCC